rnacentral:rRNA from 1 species
CCUACGGGAGGCAGCAGUGAGGAAUAUUGGUCAAUGGACGAGAGUCUGAACCAGCCAAGUAGCGUGAAGGAUGACUGCCCUAUGGGUUGUAAACCUCUUUUGUCGGGGAGCAAAAUCCGGACGUGUCCGGCUGUUAGAGUACCCGAAGAAAAAGCAUCGGCUAACUCCGUGCCAGCAGCCGCGGUAAUACGGAGGAUGCGAGCGUUAUCCGGAUUUAUUGGGUUUAAAGGGUGCGCAGGCGGAUUUUUAAGUCAGCGGUCAAAUCGUGGGGCUCAACCCCAUCCAGCCGUUGAAACUGGGGAUCUAGAGUGUGCGAGAGGGAGGCGGAAUGCGUGGUGUAGCGGUGAAAUGCAUAGAUAUCACGCAGAACCCCGAUUGCGAAGGCAGCAUACCGGUGCACAACUGACGCUCAGGCACGAAAGCGUGGGUAUCGAACAGGAUUAGAUACCCCAGUAGUC